GCCACCCUUUAAAGAAAGCGUAAUAGCUCACUGAUCGAGUCGUCCUGCGCGGAAGAUGUAACGGGGCUAAGCUAUAUACCGAAGCUGCGGAUGCGUGCUUAGCACGCAUGGUAGGAGAGCGUUCUGUAAGCCUGCGAAGGUGUCUCGGAAGGGAUGCUGGAGGUAUCAGAAGUGCGAAUGCUGACAUGAGUAGCGAUAAAGGGGGUGAAAGGCCCCCUCGCCGUAAGCCCAAGGUUUCCUACGCAACGUUCAUCGGCGUAGGGUGAGUCGGCCCCUAAGGCGAGGCAGAAAUGCGUAGCUGAUGGGAAGCAGGUCAAUAUUCCUGCACCAUUGUUAGAUGCGAUGGGGGGACGGAUCGCGGAAGGUUGUCCGGGUGUUGGAAGUCCCGGUCGCUGCAUUGGAGAAGGCGCUUAGGCAAAUCCGGGCGCAGGAUUCAAGGGUGUGGCGCGAGCUUCUUAGGAAGCGAAGCAAUUGGAAGUGGUUCCAAGAAAAGCCUCUAAGCUUCAGUCUAACGAUGACCGUACCGCAAACCGACACAGGUGGGCGAGAUGAGUAUUCUAAGGCGCUUGAGAGAACUCGGGAGAAGGAACUCGGCAAAUUGGUACCGUAACUUCGGGAUAAGGUACGCCCUUGUAGCUUGAUGCGCCUGCGCGCAAAGGGUGAAGGGGUUGCAAUAAACUGGUGGCUGCGACUGUUUAAUAAAAACACAGCACUCUGCAAACACGAAAGUGGACGUAUAGGGUGUGACGCCUGCCC
rnacentral:rRNA from 1 species